rnacentral:rRNA from 1 species
AGCGAACGCUGGCGGCAUGCUUAACACAUGCGAGUCGCACGGAAGCUUCGGCUUCAGUGGCGGACGGGUGAGUAACGCGUAGGUAUCUGUCCACGGGUGGGGGAUAACUCCGGGAAACUGGAGCUAAUACCGCACAAUACCUGAGGGUCAAAGGCGCAAGUCGCCUGUGGAGGAGCCUGCGUUCGAUUAGCUUGUUGGUGGGGUAAUGGCCUACCAAGGCGAUGAUCGAUAGCUGGUCUGAGAGGAUGAUCAGCCACACUGGGACUGAGACACGGCCCAGACUCCUACGGGAGGCAGCAGUGGGGAAUAUUGGACAAUGGGGGCAACCCUGAUCCAGCAAUGCCGCGUGUGUGAAGAAGGUUUUCGGAUUGUAAAGCACUUUCGGCGGGGACGAUAAUGACGGUACCCGCAGAAGAAGCCCCGGCUAACUUCGUGCCAGCAGCCGCGGUAAUACGAAGGGGGCUAGCGUUGCUCGGAAUGACUGGGCGUAAA